CAUUCUCUCUCCGGUGAGUUUCCCUCGUGAAACCUAACACCUAUCUCUUUUCUCUCACUCUCCCUUCUUCCUUUCUUCCCCAAUUCGAUACUCUCUCUCUCCAUUUUCCCAAAUUUUCUGUUGCCCCUUACCACUGUUGUGCGCCUGCCGUGUCGUCGCCACUGAGGGAAGCCGAUUGGAGUAGGAGUAGCUACCAUGGCCUUUGGUUUGGUUUUUGCACUCGGAGACUCUCUCCUUCAGGGAGUCAGAAAAUGGAAAAAGGAUUCAAUUCAUCCUUGUCAUUAAUCUCCAGUUGUUUUAAACAGUAGACAUGCUGAUACGUACGUGGGGUUUUCAUCAUUCCUACUUAAUCAUAUAUAAUCGACGAUUUCCUUGUGUCC